rnacentral:rRNA from 1 species
UACGGAGGGGGCUAGCGUUGUUCGGAAUUACUGGGCGUAAAGGGCUCGUAGGUGGCCAACUAAGUCAGACGUGAAAUCCCUCGGCUUAACCGGGGAACUGCGUCUGAUACUGGAUGGCUUGAGUUCGGGAGAGGGAUGCGGAAUUCCAGGUGUAGCGGUGAAAUGCGUAGAUAUCUGGAGGAACACCGGUGGCGAAGGCGGCAUCCUGGACCGACACUGACGCUGAGGAGCGAAAGCCAGGGGAGCAAACGGG